rnacentral:lncRNA from 1 species
AAUCUCUGCAGACAUCACACAUAGCAAGUGAGCUUACAGACUUCCUCAGAAAUCCUAGCAGGCAGGGGCAAAAUCUCUUUGAAUGACCCGCUAAUAAAUUACGAGCUGGUGGAGAAAGAAGGAAUUGUUUCACAUUGUUCGGGUGCUAAAAUUUCCAACAGGAAUGCAACAAUUAAAUAUUUGAAUUUCUUAAACAUGAACAUUUGGAAUAUGCCUUUGUUUUUAAUUUAACUAUAUAAAUUGUCAUUCACUUUCAGCAAUAAUCAUAGUCAAUGGAAAGGAAAAGAUAAAGAGUAUGUUUUGAAUACUUCCAGUGCCAUCUAUUGGCUGUGAAACGUGUUGUUUCAAUGCUAAGCCAAAACACACCAAUGACUAUUAAGGAAGGAGGAAGACAUUUCACACAUUCACGAUAAAAACACAUCCAAUUGGGUGUUUGAAAGGUUGUAAACAUCACAGUCUGCCUCAAGAUUCUUAUAUGUAUCAUUUCAAAUCAGAGAAUUUAUUUGAUGUAUAAUAAGAAGGAGUAAACAGAUACGAAUAUUUUAAGUAUAAAAUCUAGACUCUCAAGGAUCCAGUAGGUUAUAUUUAAUACCAAUCAUAGAAUAUUUUACUUAUGUUUCAGACAAAAGAAAACUAAUGACUCUUCUUUAUAUAAUGAAUAAUUUUCUAAAAAUCUUGUAGCUUUUACAAACUCAAUGUUCAUCUUCUUUUUGUAAUUGUAGGCAUAAAGGAAGCUAUUUUGUGUCACAAAAAUGGCUCAAUUAACAGCAUUUUCUCUUUGUGCAAGGAUCAAAAAUGAAUAGAGAAAAGAUUGUGCAGUAGAUUUUUAAAGACGUCUUUUCUAAAACUCCCUUUUUACAUGUGUAUUAUAAUUUCUGAGUUAGAUAAUUUGAACAUUCAAAUUAAAGGGCAUGCAAUUAAUCAGUUUCAGGUGAAAUUGUUUUCUCUCAUUCAAUUUUGCUCGCACAGCUAAUUGAAUAAUGAAGAGUUAAGUGGAGGAAAAAGGAAGCUACCCUUUUAAAAUUUGGCUCUCUCUUCCUGCUUCUCAUAAAUAUCUCUUUUGCAAACAGGGUCUUUUUGAUUUUACAAAGUAUUCCAUAUUCAGAACGUAUGGAUAAAAUUGUGCCACUCUGUGCUUGAAAAUAAACAGAACACAUGAAAUCAAACCCCAGAACAAACACACAAGAGAAGAUGCCUUUCCUGUCUUAAAAUCUGCUUUCUUCUAAAUGACUUUGUUAGUCAUGGCUUAUAUUGGAUCUCAAAUGUGGUCAGUCUCCAGAGAAUUGGUUUACUGCCUGGUAAGAUCAUGACAUCCUUGAAGGUGAACCUCAGAAUUUGAGAUGAUUCAGGAAAGUCCAGGAACUUGCCUGCAUUUGGCCCAUUAAAAAU